rnacentral:rRNA from 1 species
AGUGAACGCUGGCGGCAUGCCUAACACAUGCAAGUCGAACGGCAGCACAGUAACAGCUUGCUCUUACGGGUGUAAAGUGGCGGACGGUUGAGGAAUACAUCGGAAUCUACUCUUUCGUGGGGGAUAACGUCGGGAAACUUACUCUAAUACCGCAUACAACGUACGUGUGAGAGCAGGGGAUCUUCGGACCUUGCGCGAGUGAAUGAGCCGAUGUCGGAUUAGCUAGUUGGCGGGGUAAAGGCCUAACAAGGCGACGAUCCGUAUCUGCUAUGAGGGGAAGAUCAGAUAGAUUGGAACUGAGACACGGUACAGACUCCGACGGGAAGCAGCAGUGGAGAAUAUUGGAGAAGGGGGGAAAGCCUAAUCCAGGCAUACCGCGUGGGUGAAGAAGGCCUUAGGGUGGUAGAGCCCUUUUGUUGGGAAAGAAAAACAGCAGGUUAAUACGCCGCUGUUAUGACGGUACCGAAAGAAUAAGCACCGGCUAACUUCGUG